GGCGCUACGGUCGUGAAUGGGUCCUUUAGGCCAAGGAGCUAGCUGCGUGCCNGGACACUACACCNAGAACAACUUAUGUCGCCCACCACAUGCAGGUGCCCGACACAGUAUGCCGGCAGCCCCAACUUCAGCCCACCACNCCAUGAGGCACGGGGAGCCAAACACCACGUCCGUACCCA
rnacentral:misc_RNA from 1 species